GAUGAACGCUGGCGGCGUGCUUAACACAUGCAAGUCGAACGGGAAACCUUUUAUUGAAGCUUCGGCAGAUUUAGCUGGUUUCUAGUGGCGGACGGGUGAGUAACGCGUGGGUAACCUGCCCUAUACAGGGGGAUAACAGUCAGAAAUGGCUGCUAAUACCGCAUAAGCGCACAGAGCUGCAUGGCUCAGUGUGAAAAACUCCGGUGGUAUAAGAUGGACCCGCGUUGGAUUAGCUGGUUGGUGGGGUAACGGCCCACCAAGGCGACGAUCCAUAGCCGGCCGGAGAGGGUGAACGGCCACAUUGGGACUGAGACACGGCCCAGACUCCUACGGGAGGCAGCAGUGGGGAAUAUUGCACAAUGGGGGAAACCCUGAUGCAGCGACGCCGCGUGAAGGAAGAAGUAUCUCGGUAUGUAAACUUCUAUCAGCAGGGAAGAUAAUGACGGUACCUGACUAAGAAGCCCCGGCUAACUACGUG
rnacentral:rRNA from 1 species